GAUGAAGAACGUAGCGAAAUGCGAUAAGUAAUGUGAAUUGCAGAAUUCAGUGAAUCAUCGAAUCUUUGAACGCAUCUUGCGCUCCUUGGUAUUCCUUGGAGCAUGCCUGUUUGAGUAUCAUGAGCAAAUCUCAAAGUCAAUUCCUUUUGUUAAUUCAAUUUGGUUUUGCUUUGGACUUGGAGGUCUUGCAGAUUUCACAGUCUGCUCCUCUUAAAUGCAUUAGCUGGAUCUCAGUAAUUAUGCUUGGUUCCACUCGGCGUGAUAAGUAUCACUCGCUGAGGACACUGUUAAAAAGGUGGCCAGGAAAAUACUGAUUGAACCGCUUCUAACGGUCUAUUAAGUUAGACAAUUACCCUUAAGUUUGAUCUCAAAUCAGGUAGGACUACCCGCUGAACUUAAGCAUAUCAAUAAGCGGAGGA
rnacentral:misc_RNA from 1 species